rnacentral:rRNA from 1 species
CAGCACAUAAUGRUGGGCACUCUAAKGAGACUGCCGGUGACAAACCGGAGGAAGGUGGGGAUGACGUCAAGUCAUCAUGGCCCUUACGGCYUGGGCUACACACGUGCUACAAUGGUCGGUACAGAGGGUUGCCAAGCCGCGAGGUGGAGCUAAUCCCAUAAAAYCGAUCGUAGUCCGGAUYGCAGUCUGCAACUYGACUGCGUGAAGUCGGAAUCGCUAGUAAUCGUGAAUCAGAAUGUCACGGUGAAUACGUUCCCGGGCCUUGUACACACCGACCGUCACACCAUGGGAGUGGGUUUCACCAGAAGUAGAUAGUUUAAC